ncrna:unclassified sequences skipping-rope RNA
GUAGCUUGAGGAUAGGGAGUUGGUGACGCUAUCACACCCUUUGGGUCAAAAGAGAUGCUGGGUCAGUCACACCAGCCAAGUUAC